rnacentral:rRNA from 1 species
GACGGGGGAUGCGAGCGUUAUCCGGAAUUAUUGGGCGUAAAGCGUCCGCAGGUGGCAGUUCAAGUCUGCUGUCAAAGACCGGGGCUUAACUUCGGAAAGGCAGUGGAAACUGAACAGCUAGAGUAUGGUAGGGGCAGAGGGAAUUCCUGGUGUAGCGGUGAAAUGCGUAGAGAUCAGGAAGAACAUCGGUGGCGAAGGCGCUCUGCUGGACCAUAACUGACACUCAGGGACGAAAGCUAGGGGAGCGAAUGGG